rnacentral:lncRNA from 1 species
GAGCACAUCCUGAAAGAACUCCAGAGUUAAGCGUGCUUGAGCUGGAGUAGUGGAAGGAUGGGUGACCUAUCGGGAAGUGAUUCGCGAUAGCGUGCGAGUGAGGUCAAAGCAUGGGAAAAGGUCGGGUGGUGAUUGCAGGGUCAGUAAACAAUGAUUUCGAGCCUUUAGAAAAAUUAACGGACCGACCGUCAGACGGGAUGGGGCCCACGGGCUGAGAGAACGGGCGUGGGUGCUCCAUUAGCCGUGGGCGGGUCGGGGCGUUACAAGUGGUAUCAGAGCUGGUUAGCCAUCUCGGUUCUGA